UGAUCUGGGGUUGUGUCCAUUGAAAUUUCAAUGUUGAAUAGAGGAUAUACAAUAUGCUAAACUACAGUCUUUAAAAAGAAAACUUAUUAGUACAAGUAUGAUUAGAAUGGAAACCACCCAAUCUGACAUGGAAAUAUCCUUGAGAACUAAACAUGGAAACUAAAGAAUGAUACCUACUACCAAAAAAAAAAAAAAAACACACUUAAGUACAUAGCCUACAGACCCUGUAAAGUAACUACACAAUAGAAACUACAAAGCAACUAGCUAACAACAUCAUGAUAGGAUCAGAAUCUCACAUAUCAAUAUUAAUGUGGAAUGUAAAUGGUCUACAUUCCCCACUUUAGGGACACAGAAUAGCAAAUUGGUGCAUGUGGAGUAAUUUUGUAUACAUGAAUUGAAUUCCAUCCAUGUAUUCAAUGUAAUUACCCUCAGUUCUGGAAUUUCCUGCCUCUUUCCCAGAAAACUCAUAAAUAAUCCAGCCUUUGUUUAGCAUAUACACAAAAUGUGAUCUUAUUUGGAAUUCCUUCUCUUUUUGGUAUACAACUUAAUAGAAAGAACUUCAAAUAAAAACAAUUGUACUUACAACUGUUUUGUAUAGCACUUGAAGAAUCAUUUCUAAUACUUCUUUAUCAUCCUGGAAUAGUGGUGUUCUUAUCUUUACAUAAUUGCAUCAAAUCUUGGAGUGCUGACUACCAGAAGUCAAAUUAGCAGCACCAGAAUU
rnacentral:lncRNA from 1 species